rnacentral:lncRNA from 1 species
GAGAUAACUCCCUAUCCAUAAAACCCGUAGAAGAUAUAAAAAUAUGUCAGAAUUUUAAGUAGAUAAAACCCUUGAAAAUCCCAGUCGAACAAUAGUUUUGGUAGUUUGGUAGAAAGGUACAAUAUUUUGAUUCAUUGUUUACAACUAAAAACGAUUUAACAUAUGAUGGCAGCUCCCACUGUGGAUUUUAGUAAAAUUGAAGCACCAGCAAUCACAAAGUUCCUCUUUUUGCAAGGCAAAGGAGCGGUGGAAAUCCAUGACGAGAUGAAGAAAGUCUUGAAGGAUGGCUGCCCAUCUUAUUCCACAGUGAAAAUCUGGGUGUCAAGGUUUCAAACUGGUCAUUUUGAGGUCAUAGAUGAACCCCGGUCAUGUCAGCUAACUUGUACCAAAGAGAAGCCAUAUCACUGUAAUAUCUGUGGAAAAGCAUAUUCUAAAAAACGUUCCUUUGUUAAGCAUAAAUGUAAUCCUACAAAAGACUAAACUUCCAUGUCAAAAGUCAUUCUCUGAAAGCAUAUAUAAAACAAUAAAUGUAUUCACAGAAGAAAUAAGAUGAGUGGAAUAACACCUCUGAACAGUAUAUAUAGUACUCAAUUAGAUGUGUUUUGGUGAAAUGUCUUACAACUGUAAUAUUUUCAAUAAAAACAUUAUUUCUGUGGA